rfam:Nicotiana sylvestris Nsyl_contig167376, whole genome shotgun sequence.
UUGUUUGCGGGUGUAGCAUCAUCAAGAUUCACAUGAAAAGGCAAGGUGAAAUGAAAUUAAUUAAGAGCCAUGGCUUUUUGAAGGUGAGAAUCUUGAUGAUGCUGCAUCAGCAAUAAA